GCGCCCAUAGUUUAACGGGAUAAAACAGGGGCCUCCUAAGCCCCGGCUCCAGGUUCGAGUCCUGGUGGGCGCG
rnacentral:tRNA from 1 species